ensembl:snoRNA SNORD116 Small nucleolar RNA SNORD116
GGAUCAAUGCUGACUCUCAUACAUGCAUUCCUUGGAAAGCUGAACAAACUGAGUGAAAACUCAAAACCAUCAUUCUCAUUGAUUGAGGUCU